rnacentral:rRNA from 1 species
AACGAACGCUGGCGGCAGGCCUAAAACAUGCAAGUCGAACGAACCUUCGGGUUAGUGGCGCACGGGUGAGUAACGCGUGGGAAUGUACCUUUUGGUGCGGAAUAACGUAGGGAAACUUACGCUAAUACCGCAUAAUAUCUUCGGAUCAAAGAUUUAUCGCCAAGAGAUCAGCCCGCGUUAGAUUAGGUAGUUGGUAGGGUAAUGGCCUACCAAGCCUACGAUCUAUAGCUGGUCUGAGAGGAUGAUCAGCCACACUGGAACUGAGACACGGUCCAGACUUCUACGGGAGGCAGCAGUUAGGAAUAUUGGACAAUGGGGGAAACCCUGAUCCAGCCAUGCCGCGUGUGUGAAGAAGGCCUUAGGGUUGUAAAGCACUUUCGUCCGCGAAGAUAAUGACAGUACCGGAAGAAGAAGCUCCGGCUAAAUUCGUG